rnacentral:misc_RNA from 1 species
GUGAAUCAUCAAAUCUUUGAACGCAAAUUGCACUGGCUUCGGAGAGUAAGCCUGUUUGAGGGUCAGCCUAAAAAAAAUCGACAUAGUCGCUGUCUCGUGGUGGCACUCGUCGGAAAUUGGGUCAUCUUAAACCUUUUGGUUUUAAGCGGUUUAAAAUCUUCUUUACGACUCCACGAACGUUUUUAAGAUUUACGUACACGUUUAAGGUAUCGAUCUUUAUUAGAAGUGGCCGUUGCAUAGGAUCGAGUCCAUAAGUAUUUCGUUAACUGAUA